CGGAGGCGCAGUUGAAUCAAUGUGUGUUCGGAAUCGACUCCAUAUCUUUAUAAUCGACUCCAAGUUCACAACAACUUGAAUAGGUGACCGAUGACGUGGUGUGUGAGGAGCUUACCUUCACCCAGAGAAUACACCUUAAAUCCAGACAUCUUUUUGGACAGGAUGGAUUUGGGCAGGUUGAUCAGUGCUGGGUUGUAGACGGGGAAGUCGCUGUAAUAGUGAUCCAGCACCCACACGGCGGCUCGCUGAAUGCUGCAACACAACACAGGAGGAGCCGAAUGCAAUUUUUUGAUCCCCCACGUUGAAAAAACAACUACGGGUCUGUCUGAAAACCUGGUGAUCACUCUACAUUGAUGCAUCGAACAUCAUCCUCCACCCUCCUGAGAAGGCGAGUGAGGGCAAUCCCAGCAUUUAGUGUGGCACAACUUCUCUCACAAAAAAUUACAAAUAUGAUGGACAAAUGCGGAGCAACCAA